CUUGACCGAGCCCAGCAGCAGUGGCCGGUCCGCUGGGCGUUGCUGCCCGUAGACCGCCAGCAACGCCUGGGCUUC
rnacentral:antisense_RNA from 1 species